rnacentral:rRNA from 1 species
UUCCGGUUGAUCCUGCCGGAGGCGACCGCUUUUGGAGUUCGAUUAAGCCAUGCGAGUAGAAUGAAUUAGAUCAUUGCAAACUGCUCAGUAACACGUGGAUAACCUGCCCUAUGCUCUGGGAUAACCUCGGGAAACUGAGAAGAAUACCGGAUAGACCACAACGCCUGGAACGGUGUGUGGUUGAAAGGUCACGGCAUAGGAUGGGUCUGCGGCGUAUCAGGUCGUAGGGGGUGUAAUGGACCUCCUAGCCAUCGACGCGUACGGGUUGUGGGAGCAAUAGCCCGGAGAUGGAUUCUGAGACACGAAUCCAGACCCUACGGGGUGCAGCAGGCGCGAAAACUUCACACUGCAGGAAACUGUGAUGAGGGAACUCCAAGUGACUGCACAUUGUGUAGCCUUUUCUUUACUAUUAAUCGGUAUUGGAAUAAGGGCUGGGAAAGACCGGUGCCAGCCGCCGCGGUAAUACCGGCAGCUCAAGUGGUCGUCGCUUUUAUUGGGCCUAAACGUCCGUAGCCUGUUUGGUAAAUCUGUGGGUAAAUCAACCAGCUUAACUGGUUGAAUUCUGCAGAGACUGCCAGACUAGGGACCGGGAGAGGUGUGGGGUACUCUAGGGGUAGGGGUAAAAUCCUGUCAUCCUUAGAGGACCACCAGUUGCGAAGGCGCCACACUGGAACGGAUCCGACGGUCAGGGACGAAGCCUAGGGGCACGAACCGGAUUAGAUACCCGGGUAGUCCUAGGUGUAAACGCUGUGAACUUGGUGUCGGGGAUCCGUCAUGGGUCCCCGGUGCCGGAGUGAAGAUGUUAAGUUCACUGCCUGGGGAGUACGGUCGCAAGGCUGAAACUUAAAGGAAUUGGCGGGGGAGCACUGCAACGGGAGGAGCGUGCGGUUUAAUUGGAUUCAACGCCGGA